rnacentral:lncRNA from 1 species
UAAUCUUUCAACGCUUUUAGGCUCUGGAAUCCCCGAAAUGAAGACAAUACUUCGUGGGGUUGUCCUGAAGGAAUACCUCACAAUGAAAGCCUUUGUGGCCAAGGUUGUCGCCCUGACUGCGGGCCUGGGCAGUGGCAUCCCCGUGGGGAAAGAGAGUGCUAUUUAGCAUCGAGGUCACCUCCACCUACUUUGCUGUUCGGAACUACUGGAGAGGAUUCUUUGCAGCCACGUUCAGCGCCUUUGUGUUUCGAGUGCUGGCAGUGUGGAACAAGGAUGC